UUGACAGCGGUAGAGACUGUAGUCCUCUAUUUAUCCAUAGAAGAGUUAUAGCAUGGCCACUUGCAGUGUAAGAUUCCCCCCACUGUUGCUACCAGUGUGCCUCAAGUCUGUUCUGAUACAGACAUCUUUAACUUUAGGGACAAGUUUACCUUUAUUCUACAUAAUCCUUGAUCUAAUGUCUACU
rnacentral:sRNA from 1 species